CCCAGUCCGGAGGACUUCAAACCCGGAAGGCGGCCCGGAGCCGGGAGAACUCCGAGAAAACUUGAGCUGAGAAGAGCUGGGUGGUCUGCUGUGUUCCGGUCUGCCUAAUGAAGAGACCUUCUCUCAUGCUGUCACAGUCAGGCCUCAUCCGAUCUGUGCCGGGCGGGACCCCCAACUGCUGAUUCUGACUGAACCUCACGGAAGACCUCGGUCAUGAAAUGAGAGCCACAGUGCCUGGCCCAGCUUCCAUGGGGAAGGUGACAUCAUGAGGCCUAGUGGAAUUACAGCUCACUCCAUCAGCUAACCCUCAGCCCUGGAAUCCACCCUCUCUGGACCUUCCUGUCCUCCCCUCCGUGAUCCCAGGUAGGUGUCAAUGGAACCUGAUGCCUGUACUUCUGGCUGACUUCACUCUUCCCCAUCCUCCAGCUUCUGAGAUACUAGAGGAUUAAAGCUGGACCCACAGAGGGUGAGGAUCACCUCUACCAUCACCCAGGGAGGCUCCAAGUGCAGCAUGAGUGGAUCCAAAGCAGACCUCUUAAAGAAGCCGAGUCACUGAAAUACGUCGCAAGAGUCAAAUUGCCCAGUUUCCAGUGUGAAGACGCUAAGAGAGCCACAGGUUCCUCCUGUUAAAAAUGGGAAGCUUGCUGGUACCCCUCACACUACAUGCAUGGAUGAUAAAUGACGUAAAGUGUUUAGCAAGGGUUUGACAUAUACUAAGCAUUCAAUCAGU